ensembl:lncRNA
UGUGUGUGUGUGUGUGUGUGUCUGUGAAAGGGAAGGAGAAGUUCUAGCGAUCUAGCAUUUGGCUACCCCAGAGAUCAAGCAGGAGUGAGUCAGGCGGCAUUGCUGCCAGAGACCAGGCAGCGUCGCGGGCGUGGACGGCUCAUUUCCAAGGUUUUUACAGCAUGACAUCAAGGAAGAAGAAAUGGCUAUGAUAUAUAUUACCUAAAAAUCUGGAAAGCCUGGAUUCAAUUUGUGAUUUUAUGACAUUCUAGCUGUAGAACAUUUGAAAAAGAUGUUCCUUCAAGACCUAAAUGAUUAGGAUAUCACUCAGCCACAAUGAAGUGUUAUGUCCUUGAGUCUUUAUACAAGGAUACUUUCUACUUCAAGUCACUGCCACUGCUGGAAAUGCAGGUGAAGGUCCUCAGAUUGAGCACAACCCAUGGACACACGGAGGGGAGUAUCACACACUGGGGUCUGGUGGGAGGAACUAGUGGAGGGACAGUGGUGGGUAACGAGGUUGGGAAGGGAUGACAUGGGGAGAAAUGCCAGAUAUAGAUGAUGGGGGGAUGGAGGCCGCAAACAACAUCGUCAUGUAUGUACCUAUGCAACAAUCCUGCAUGUUCUGCACAUGUAGCCCAGAAUCUAAAGUAUGAUAAAAAAGAAUAAAGAAAAAAAAAGCUGCUGAUUUGGGAACUUUACCUAGAAUUGAGGAGAGCCAUGAAAAGAAUAGGGACUAGUUGAGUUUUAUUUUGAGCCCCUUGGAGCAAUUUCAGAAUAGUUCCUUUUAAGGUAGUACAAUACCCCUGUUGAAAGGGGAAUGAUGGAUGAUGUAAGAAUUGGGUGUCAUUCUGGUUUCUGUAUUUGAACUUUUGACAAUUUCCUCAAACUCUUAGCAGAGGUGAUAUUCCAGAGAACAGAUUAUCUCUUUCUGUGUGAUGCCACAAAAUCUACCCUAUUGUGGACUCUGAGUUCUGUGGUUGACCAAUAUAUCUAGAAGCAGUAAAGUCACAAACAGGUAGAAAAUCUUCAAAAAAGUAGAGCAUUCUUACAUUCAAGGAAAAAGGCUAUUCUGAAAAUAUUAAUCACUGCCUCUCUUAGGAAAGAUUUACAAACUUUCCUUUAAACUACAUGUGUGUGUAUUAGAAAAUUAUGGGUUAUGCUGUGGUAAAACAAAAACAAGCAAACAAAUAAAAGCACCUCAAUCCCAGUAGCUUAAGACAAAAUUUAUUCUGUGCUCACACCUAUUAUUUUCUGAGUUCAGGCAACUUCACAAAGACGUUGUCCUCCACGUGUUGGCUUCACCUUCCAGAUUCCUUUUAGUAACUCUAUGUCGAGACAUAUUUCUACAAUCAUUGUAAUGGCAAAGAGCAGGUUAAAAAGCCUACCACCAGCAUAUUUUCUUGGCUAAAGCAUGCCAUAUAGCCCAAAUUAUGUUGGUUUAUGCAAAACUUUUUCUAGAUCAUUAACCUUUUGUGGCACCAUGUAUCAGGAGCUUAACUGCAGUAUAUUAACACUCCUAAUGUGGCAAAUCACAGAAAAAUACUGUACUUUACACAAUGUCCAUUAUUUUUACUAUCUUCCUCUAAGCCGGAUAUAGACUUAUGUUCUGUUUAGGAAGUGCUCGUUGUAUGUCUCUUCCUAAUUUUUGUUCAUUUUAGUCUUGUUUCCAGAACUAUUUUGCUUUCAAGAUAAAAACCUAUAUAUGCAGCUGUAGUUCUUUAUGAGCAGUUUAACAUACCAAUUUGUAAUUAGUGCUAUAAUUUUAUUAAUUUUUUUUUGUUUUUGCUUUCCACAGUGUUGAAUAGGGUUUCAGUAGUGAGUUCAAACCUAUUUUUCUCAUAGCAGCUUUUCUUUGUAGUGAGUGAUUUUGCAGGAUGUGAUGUUCUCCUAGUAAUGUAUGUAUCGCUUAUAGCAGAAAUACUUGUAUUGCGGUUAGUGUUUUACCACUACUUAAGAGGAAGUUCUAGAUAGCGUGAGGAUGUAAAAGGGGGCUUUGUUCCAGCAACCAUUUAAUUUCAAAUCUGAGGAGCAUUUGAUAGGUUCUUAUAUAAAUCAGACUCUCCAGAGACGUUGAAUGCUAAUUCUGUAGUCUCACUGUGUUACUCUAUGUGGCAAGGAUUUGCCUGCUCCAAAAUACUGGGCAAUUAGCCUUUUAUUUUAACAAGACAUCCUUUGUCAGAUUAGGGUCAGACUGCUUAAAAAUUGGGAAUUUACAUCUUUUGUUAGGCUGUUCACUAGAAAGCUAUGCCCACUUUUACAUGAACAUUUACUCCACUGAGGGUUGACCACUGAAAAAUUAAUGCAAACUUUUUUUGGCACUCUGUCUCUGAUCUGAUUAUUAGACUUAUAACCUUAGAGAAACUAGCUGUCAUUUUUCCCCCUUUUUUAGUAACUUCAAUAGUUUUGGGGGGAGCAGGUGAUUUGUUUUUUGUUACAUGGAUAAGUUCUUUAGUGGUAAUUUCUGAGAUUUCGUUGCAUCCAUCAGCCAAGCAGUGUACACUGUACCCAAUGUGUAGUCUUUUAUCCCUGCCCACUCGCAUUCCCCCUGAGUCCCUAAAGUCUGCUAUCUCGUUCUUAUGCCUUUGCAUCCGCGUGGCUUAACUCCCACUUAUAAGUGAGAACAUAAAAUAUUUAGUUUUUUAUUCCUGAUUUAAUUCACUUACAAUAAUAGUCUCCAGCUCCAUCUAGGUUGCUGCAAAUGCCCUUACUUCAUUCCUCUUUAUGGCUUAGUAUUCCAUGGUGUACAUAUACCACAUUUUCUUUAUCUCAUUGUUGAUUGAUGGGCGCUCAGGCUGCUUCUAUAUUUUUGCAAUUGCAAAUUGUGUUGUUACAAACAUGCAUGUGCAAGUGUCUGUUUCAUAUAAUGACCUCUUUUCCUCUUGGUAGAUACUAAAUAGUGGGACUGCUGAAUCAAAUGGUAGUUCUAUUUUUAGUUCUUUAAGGACUGUCUAUCUAUUUUCCAUAGUGGUCGUACUAGUUUACAUUCCCACCAGCAGUGUAAAAGUGUUUCCUUUUCAGCACACCCACACCAGCAUCUAUUGUUUUUCGAUUUUUAAAUUAUGGCCAUUCUCGAAGGAGUAAGGUGGUAUUUCACUGUGGUUUUAAUUUGCAUUUCCCUGAUAAUUAGUGAUGUUGAGCAUUUUUUAAUAUAUUUGUUGGGUAUUUUUAUAUCUUCUUUUGAGAAUUGUCCAUUCAUGUUCUUUGCCCAUUUUUUUUAAUUUUUUUUUUUCUUGCUGAUUUUUUAAAGUUCCUUGUAGAUUCUGGAUAUUAUUCCUUUGUCAGAUGCAUAGUUUAUAAAUAUGUACUCCCCUUCUGGGGGAGUCUCUUUACUUUGCUGCUGAUUAUUUCUUUUGCUGUGCAGAAGCUUUUUAGUUUCAUCAGGUCCCAGGUCCCAUCUUCUUAUUUUUGUUUUUGAUGCAUUAGCUUUUGUGUUCUUGAUCAUAAUGUUUUUGCCUCAGCAAAAGUCUAGAAGAGAUUUACCAAUGUAAUCUAUAAUUUUUAUAGUUUCAGG